CCGACCUUGCUGGCCGGUCUCCCUGGAGCUGAAGUGCCUGAGGCCUGCUCUGGCCCAGAGCGCACGUGAGUGAGGCCUCUGCUGUGGGCUCUGGGCCGGAGGCGUCCUCUCUCUGUCAGUCCUCGGGAGGUGGAUCCUGGCUUUGAGCGAGGCUGUAUCUUUGGGAGUAUUUUUAUACAAUAUCUAAAAUCACGACAUGUUUGGAGUAUGUCCAGGUAGCUCGGCUGAAUGUUACACGAGAAAGGGAGAAUCCCGUGUUACCACCCUCCCUGGGGCAUCAUCAUUACGGACGUUACCUUCAGGGAAUCUGAGUGAAGGGCACAUGGAAUCCCUCUUCACUCUGUGGGCAUCCUCCUGUGAGCUGCACAUCCUCCUGUGAGUUGCGCAUCCUCCGAUGGAGUUUUGCUCUUGUCGCACAGGCUGGAGUGCAAUGGCACGAUCUCGGCUCACCGCAACCUCCGCCUCCUGGGUUCAAGCGAUUCUCCUGCCUCAGCCUCCCAAGUAGCUGGGAUUACAGGCAUGCGCCACCUCCAGCUAAUUUUGUAUUUUUAGUAGAGACCGGGCUUCUCCAUGUUGGUCAGGCUGGUCUCAAACUCCCGACCUCAGGUGAUCCGCCCACCUCGGGCUCCCAAAGUGCUGGGAUUACAGGCAUGAGCCACUGCGUCACACUGUCGGUCUUUUUCUUAUCUCACUUGAGGAGCUCUAAGCAGUGUGGGGGAAUUAUCCCUUUGUUUAUCGUGCAACACUUCAUCCGGCAGGAUUUUAUUUCCAAUUUUACCUUGUGUAUGUUUUUUUCUAAAUAUUCUUUUUUUCUUUCAUGACGAGAUCCACUAAAUAUAUAAGUUGUUUCUUUAGAGGAAAAUUAUUAUGUCUUGAAAGAGUCAGAUUAUGUUGUUGAUGAGGUGAACAUUCAUCCAAUAAGUGAUAGUGAUGUAAUUUAAAGACAUAAAAUGACUUAAUUGUUAAAUUCAUCAAGUUAGAAUUUUUGGAUAAAAAUUUAUAUGAGUUUAUUUUCAGUGUCCUCUCCAGGUUGAAAUUUGAGUUCUUUCACUUGCUAUUCAUGUGAUUUUUGAACAGGUUAUGUAACCUCGUUAAGCCAAGAUCUCAUUCUUCAAAUGGGCACUAUCAUAAUGUAGUCAUCCUAACACUGUUGAGAUGAAGAUAAGCAAUCAGAUGGUCCUCAGUGGGUACCCAAUGACUAAAAAUGCCUUUUCCUUUUUAUGAAAUAAGCUGGUAAAUUCUGUUUGGAUACCAACACAAAUCUUCCAAAGAUCUUGUCACACCACCCUUAGAUUGACUUACAUUUUGUGCUACUAACAGCAUAGCAAGCCUCACAAUCAAAUGACCUGCACCUUGCAAAAUAGCA
rnacentral:lncRNA from 1 species